rnacentral:rRNA from 3 species
UUAAGUUAUUAAGGGCGCACGGUGGAUGCCUUGGCACUAGAAGCCGAUGAAGGACGUUACUAACGACGAUAUGCUUUGGGGAGCUGUAAGUAAGCUUUGAUCCAGAGAUUUCCGAAUGGGGAAACCCAGCAUGAGUUAUGUCAUGUUAUCGAUAUGUGAAUACAUAGCAUAUCAGAAGGCACACCCGGAGAACUGAAACAUCUUAGUACCCGGAGGAAGAGAAAGAAAAUUCGAUUCCCUUAGUAGCGGCGAGCGAAACGGGAAGAGCCCAAACCAACAAGCUUGCUUGUUGGGGUUGUAGGACACUCUAUACGGAGUUAUAAAGGACGACAUUAGACGAAUCAUCUGGAAAGAUGAAUCAAAGAAGGUAAUAAUCCUGUAGUCGAAAAUGUUGUCUCUCUUGAGUGGAUCCUGAGUACGACGGAGCACGUGAAAUUCCGUCGGAAUCUGGGAGGACCAUCUCCUAAGGCUAAAUACUCUCUAGUGACCGAUAGUGAACCAGUACCGUGAGGGAAAGGUGAAAAGCACCCCGGAAGGGGAGUGAAAUAGAACCUGAAACCGUGUGCUUACAAGUAGUCAGAGCCCGUUAAUGGGUGAUGGCGUGCCUUUUGUAGAAUGAACCGGCGAGUUACGAUUUGAUGCAAGGUUAAGCAGUAAAUGUGGAGCCGUAGCGAAAGCGAGUCUGAAUAGGGCGUUUAGUAUUUGGUCGUAGACCCGAAACCAGGUGAUCUACCCUUGGUCAGGUUGAAGUUCAGGUAACACUGAAUGGAGGACCGAACCGACUUACGUUGAAAAGUGAGCGGAUGAACUGAGGGUAGCGGAGAAAUUCCAAUCGAACCUGGAGAUAGCUGGUUCUCUCCGAAAUAGCUUUAGGGCUAGCCUCAAGUGAUGAUUAUUGGAGGUAGAGCACUGUUUGGACGAGGGGCCCCUCUCGGGUUACCGAAUUCAGACAAACUCCGAAUGCCAAUUAAUUUAACUUGGGAGUCAGAACAUGGGUGAUAAGGUCCGUGUUCGAAAGGGAAACAGCCCAGACCACCAGCUAAGGUCCCAAAAUAUAUGUUAAGUGGAAAAGGAUGUGGCGUUGCCCAGACAACUAGGAUGUUGGCUUAGAAGCAGCCAUCAUUUAAAGAGUGCGUAAUAGCUCACUAGUCGAGUGACACUGCGCCGAAAAUGUACCGGGGCUAAACAUAUUACCGAAGCUGUGGAUUGUCCUUUGGACAAUGGUAGGAGAGCGUUCUAAGGGCGUUGAAGCAUGAUCGUAAGGACAUGUGGAGCGCUUAGAAGUGAGAAUGCCGGUGUGAGUAGCGAAAGACGGGUGAGAAUCCCGUCCACCGAUUGACUAAGGUUUCCAGAGGAAGGCUCGUCCGCUCUGGGUUAGUCGGGUCCUAAGCUGAGGCCGACAGGCGUAGGCGAUGGAUAACAGGUUGAUAUUCCUGUACCACCUAUAAUCGUUUUAAUCGAUGGGGGGACGCAGUAGGAUAGGCGAAGCGUGCGAUUGGAUUGCACGUCUAAGCAGUAAGGCUGAGUAUUAGGCAAAUCCGGUACUCGUUAAGGCUGAGCUGUGAUGGGGAGAAGACAUUGUGUCUUCGAGUCGUUGAUUUCACACUGCCGAGAAAAGCCUCUAGAUAGAAAAUAGGUGCCCGUACCGCAAACCGACACAGGUAGUCAAGAUGAGAAUUCUAAGGUGAGCGAGCGAACUCUCGUUAAGGAACUCGGCAAAAUGACCCCGUAACUUCGGGAGAAGGGGUGCUCUUUAGGGUUAACGCCCAGAAGAGCCGCAGUGAAUAGGCCCAAGCGACUGUUUAUCAAAAACACAGGUCUCUGCUAAACCGUAAGGUGAUGUAUAGGGGCUGACGCCUGCCCGGUGCUGGAAGGUUAAGAGGAGUGGUUAGCUUCUGCGAAGCUACGAAUCGAAGCCCCAGUAAACGGCGGCCGUAACUAUAACGGUCCUAAGGUAGCGAAAUUCCUUGUCGGGUAAGUUCCGACCCGCACGAAAGGCGUAACGAUUUGGGCACUGUCUCAACGAGAGACUCGGUGAAAUCAUAGUACCUGUGAAGAUGCAGGUUACCCGCGACAGGACGGAAAGACCCCGUGGAGCUUUACUGUAGCCUGAUAUUGAAAUUCGGCACAGCUUGUACAGGAUAGGUAGGAGCCUUUGAAACGUGAGCGCUAGCUUACGUGGAGGCGCUGGUGGGAUACUACCCUAGCUGUGUUGGCUUUCUAACCCGCACCACUUAUCGUGGUGGGAGACAGUGUCAGGCGGGCAGUUUGACUGGGGCGGUCGCCUCCUAAAAGGUAACGGAGGCGCUCAAAGGUUCCCUCAGAAUGGUUGGAAAUCAUUCAUAGAGUGUAAAGGCAUAAGGGAGCUUGACUGCGAGACCUACAAGUCGAGCAGGGUCGAAAGACGGACUUAGUGAUCCGGUGGUUCCGCAUGGAAGGGCCAUCGCUCAACGGAUAAAAGCUACCCCGGGGAUAACAGGCUUAUCUCCCCCAAGAGUUCACAUCGACGGGGAGGUUUGGCACCUCGAUGUCGGCUCAUCGCAUCCUGGGGCUGUAGUCGGUCCCAAGGGUUGGGCUGUUCGCCCAUUAAAGCGGUACGCGAGCUGGGUUCAGAACGUCGUGAGACAGUUCGGUCCCUAUCCGUCGUGGGCGUAGGAAAUUUGAGAGGAGCUGUCCUUAGUACGAGAGGACCGGGAUGGACAUACCUCUGGUGUACCAGUUGUCGUGCCAACGGCAUAGCUGGGUAGCUAUGUGUGGACGGGAUAAGUGCUGAAAGCAUCUAAGCAUGAAGCCCCCCUCAAGAUGAGAUUUCCCAACUUCGGUUAUAAGAUCCCUCAAAGAUGAUGAGGUUAAUAGGUUCGAGGUGGAAGCAUGGUGACAUGUGGAGCUGACGAAUACUAAUCGAUCGAAGACUUAAUCAA